rfam:Ictidomys tridecemlineatus contig030998, whole genome shotgun sequence.
GGGGUUGUGGCUCAGUGGUAAAGCACUCACCUGGUGUGUGUGAGGCCCUGGGUUCGAUCCUCAGCACCA